rnacentral:pre_miRNA from 1 species
GUGUUUGCAGAUGUAGCACCAUCAAGAUUCACAACUUUAUGGGCUUCAUGGGGUGGUGGUCCCUUCCCUUCCCUUCCCUUCACUCGAUAGGCUCACGGUAUGGGAAUCUUGAUGAUGCUGCAUCGGCAAUAAA